UACGGUAGGGUGCGAGCGUUGUCCGGAAUUAUUGGGCGUAAAGAGCUUGUAGGCGGUUUGUCGCGUCUGCUGUGAAAAUCCGGGGCUCAACCCCGGACUUGCAGUGGGUACGGGCAGACUAGAGUGUGGUAGGGGAGACUGGAAUUCCUGGUGUAGCGGUGAAAUGCGUAGAUAUUGGGAGGAACACCGGUGGCGAAGGCGGCAUCUGGACCGGUCCUGCACGCUGAGGCGGCGAAAGCGUGGGGAGCAAC
rnacentral:rRNA from 1 species